CCGGAGGGCUCCGGGGUCCGUGGUGCUCAAAGUCGGGGGGCGCCCUGGUCACAUCCGCGGGCAGCAGGGGGGCAGCACGGGAAGCUGAGGAUACUUCGGCCCGGGCCGGGAGCCAAAGACAACUCGGUCUCUGCGCCCCGGCGCCCACUGCGUGCUCGCGCGCCCUCUACCGGGCCCCACGGAGGCUCCGCGAAACACGGGCCAAGUGCCUGCGGGUGCUCGCGUGGAGGCGGGGUGCGUGUGAACAUGUGUAUGUGCGGCUGAAGGUAACAGCGGAGGUCACCGGCAACGGCGCGCACGCACGUGUGCACAGAGGUGCCCGGGGAAGGUGGUGCUGGCAGCAGGUGAAGAUCACCCCCACCCCCACCACCGCCUCUGUCGAUCCACCAGCCUGGGGUCCUGUGUGGACCAGGGGAGACCCAGAGCAGCGCCCCUCGGGCUGUGGAGGCUCCAACCACACGCUGACCCCACUGGAGGUGGAGGGUCUCCCCCAUCCCAGGAGGAAGACUUGAGGCCAGUAGAGAGAAUCCCACAUUGGUGAGAGUGAAGAACAGGAGAGUCUCUAGGAUAGGACCCAAGAGUGAUGAAGGUGGAGGAUGCAUGAUGCCCCUUGCGACCUGUCCCCAGCACUCCCCCUGAAGCUGGUUGGAGCCUGGAGCUGUCCUAGCUGCCUAGUCAUGACCAUCCUUGGGCAGUGGAUCAGCACAGGAAAAAGCCCAUCAGUCCACCACUGACUGGAAGAGCCAGACUUUGAGGGAAAGCCCCUGAGCCCAGGCUAGGGACCAUCCCCGGGUCAGCCUAGGCCAAGGGCGCUGACCUCCAUCCCCCUAGGCUCUGAUGGGGAGAGUGGACAGGGCUCUGUGAGGUGGGCACCCGCUCAGCAAAGCCUGCACCGUCUCCCCUUGGGUCUCGGUUUCCCCAGAGGUAAUCUGAGGAAGCCAGGUAGUGGCUGGCUCUCUGCUGGGCGUCUAGGGGAGGGAGACAGGCCCCACCCUGAGAGCUCCCAGGGGACCAGCAUCCCCCAGGCCAGACAUGAAUGACUGCUGGUCUCACAGAUGUAGGGUCUGAUGCCCCAUCUGUGCUCUGCCCCCCCCCCCUCCUCAGGCCUCUCUUUCUCACCUGGCUGCCCAAGUCCUAUGAGAGAGGCUGGUAGCCAGAGGCCAGAGCUGACUCUGUGGUCAGGCAGGCACACUGCAACGGGGAGUGAGUUUGUGGUCCGAGCAGUGCAGCUACUGUGGGGCCAGGGGUCACAGGCUGGGAGGGAGGCACAUUUUCAAGCAAGCCACAGCUCCCUGGCCCAGCCUCCCUCCCUGCCUUUGCCACUGUGGGACCCUUGCAGGUGUGUAGUGAGGAGACAGCCACACUGAGGUGCUGUCUGAGCAUCUCACAUCCAGAGUCUGGACAUUCAGAUAAAAGCCUGAACCUAGGAUGCCCACCACAAACUCCUGCCUUGUGUCUCCUGCGGUAUCUUUUAAAAUGACCACUCAGAAUUGAGCCUACAAAAAAUUAGUGACCACCAUCCCAACCACCUUAUAAGUAAUAGGAGUAUGCUACCCUGCUGUCUCUCUCCUGAUCUGGAAUGGAGAACUGCCCUUCUGAAGCCUUGCUCACCGCACCCCUGUCCUGGGAUCUGAGGCGUGGCUGGACAAGGCAGGGGUCAGCCAACCAGCCCCGCUAAGAAUCUGGUUCUGGCUUCUGCUCCCGGGGACUCGGACAUUCCAGGCAGCCAGGCUCACUGGGAGGAGAAACCACAGGCACACAGAGACGCCACCAGACACAGAGACGCGUGCUCACGCCCACCGUUCUGUCACUCGAGAAAUAUUCGCUGAGCACCUACUGUGUGCCAGGGAACUGGAAGCUGUCGGAGGGAGGCAGGCAGACGGCAGGCCGGCUCAUGGACAGAUAAGAUGGUUUUCAUCCCUGGGAGAAGUGUCAAGAGACGAAAACAGGGCAGACUCUCCCUCCACAGGACUGACCGGGACGGCCUCUGAGGGAGUGACACCCACAGGGGGCACACCCCGUGUCUUCCCCUUUAGUGUGGGCAGGAGCCGAAACAAUGCCGGAAGGGCCUUUUGCACCCACAUGACGAAGUGCUGGGACGCCACUCUCCGACAGGGUCUCCGUCCUGCUGCCUGCAGUCAUCUGGCCACUCUGAAAGGGCCUUGCAGGGACCAUGUGGGCGGCCAACAGCCAAGAAGAAAGUGGACCUCAGGCCUACAACAACAAGGAACUGGACUCCGCCCGCCCCCCACAAGAGCGUGGGAGAGGGCCGCGCUCAGGCCCGGACACAGCCCCGGCAGACACCGAUUUCACCUGGGAGGCCCUGAGCUGAGGGCCCAGAAAACUCGCAUCCACAUGUCUGACCCAGGGAAGCCGUGUAAUAGUGAAUGUGUUUCAUUAAGCUGCUCAAUUUGUGGCAAUUUGUGGUACAGCGAGAGAAGACAAACAUAACUAUCUCCGGAACAGAGCGAGGCCAGGGCUUAACCCAGCAAAAGGCACACAUUUCACAAGGAGAAGGGACUGGUUCCUCAGUUUGGGGCUGGCUGCUGGCUGCAGCAUGUGGUGCAGGGCAGGCCACGAGGCUGAGGCCACAUGGAGAGCCACGUCACAGACUGCAAGCUCGCCCAACUUCACUGACAAGUUUCUGCCAGUUGUAACCAUUCUGGGCAGGGCCACUUGCAUAUGCAUUGGCCCUUCCUCUGGAGGCCUAAGGGCUUGCACACCAUGGCCUCUCAUGCCACGAGGCAGGGAACUCCGCACAUCCGGGGUCUGAAGAGCUGAGUGUGUCCCUCAGGAGAGCUGUUGACUGUGAGGGCUCUGGCUGCCUUCUGGUGAGGACCACAGGUCAAUGACUUGUCAGGUCGGGCUGAGAGGUCGUCGAGGCAUUGAGACACUGAUUUGGGAAGACAGAGAGGACAGGCACCUGCCUGGCUUGGUCGGUCGACGGAGCGUGUGCUCUCCAUCUCCAGAUUGCUGCCUACUUCGAGCCAUGGUGGGGAUCAGCCCGAGACCCACAGGGAGGUCCCAAAGAAGCUGAGUCUAGAUGAGAGACAUGCUCUUCCUGAUCCAAAGAGGAAGCAACUGGUACAAAGGGGCCCCAGAGCCCUGACGUGGUCCCUUGAGACAGUGUGGCAGGUGUCCAGGUAUGGUCACCUGGCAGCUUGUCCAAGGACGCUGUUUCCCACAGUAUCGACAGUCAGAAGUCCCUGAAACAGCCACUCAUAUACCGGCCCUUUUGAUCUUUCUUCCAGAACAGUCCAUUUCUGAUUUGCAGUUUGUAGCAGGUAAGUGUGAGGAAAGCAGAAACCACCACUGGCUCACCAAGCUGGACAGAACGUGCAAAGGUCAGAGGGCAAAAUCUCUCUUGGGGUGCAACAUACUCUCCAAGGAUUUGGUCAACAGUGACUCUGAGCAUUACAACACUUAACGGGCUGGGAGAACACUAAAAACUACCAGGCGCUUUUAGUUGGCCCCGUGGUGUCCUGACUGCCCAGCAAGAGCACGGAAACAGAAAUGAAGCUCGUCUGUGGACAAGACUACGCCAGUCCUUCGCUUCAACAGAAACCGGCAAAGCUGCUCAAACACAGCAACGGUAACAGCUCGACUUCUGUAUAAAGACAGCCUAGGAAGAUGGAGCAUUUCUUACUUGACUUUCCCAUCACUCAGGCCUCAUACUAUGUGAUGAGGUGAUUAAAAUAUGUUAAUAAAUCAUUUACUUCUCUGUA